UACGGAGGGGGCUAGCGUUGUUCGGAAUUACUGGGCGUAAAGCGCACGUAGGCGGCUUUGCAAGUUAGAGGUGAAAGCCCGGGGCUCAACUCCGGAAUUGCCUUUAAAACUGCAUCGCUAGAAUUGUGGAGAGGUGAGUGGAAUUCCGAGUGUAGAGGUGAAAUUCGUAGAUAUUCGGAAGAACACCAGUGGCGAAGGCGACUCACUGGACACGUAUUGACGCUGAGGUGCGAAAGCGUGGGGAGCAAACAGGG
rnacentral:rRNA from 1 species